rnacentral:rRNA from 1 species
GACGAACGCUGGCGGCGUGCCUAAUACAUGCAAGUCGAACGCUGCUUAAGAAGAAACUUCGGUUUUUUCUUAAGCGGAGUGGCGGACGGGUGAGUAACACGUGGGGAACCUAUCCAUCAGCGGGGGAUAACACUUGGAAACAGGUGCUAAUACCGCAUACGGCUUUUUUUCACCUGAAAGAAAGCUCAAAGGCGCUUUACAGCGUCACUGAUGGCUGGCCCCGCGGUGCAUUAGCCAGUUGGUGAGGUAACGGCUCACCAAAGCAACGAUGCAUAGCCGACCUGAGAGGGUGAUCGGCCACACUGGGACUGAGACACGGCCCAGACUCCUACGGGAGGCAGCAGUAGGGAAUCUUCGGCAAUGGACGCAAGUCUGACCGAGCAACGCCGCGUGAGUGAAGAAGGUUUUCGGAUCGUAAAGCUCUGUUGUCAGCAAAGAACAGGAGAAAGAGGCAAUGCUUUUUCUAUGACGGUAGCUGACCAGAAAGCCACGGCUAACUACGUGCCAGCAGCCGCGGUAAUACGUAGGUGGCAAGCGUUGUCCGGAUUUAUUGGGCGUAAAGCGAGCGCAGGCGGUGAUUUAAGUCUGAUGUGAAAGCCCCCAGCUCAACUGGGGAGGGUCAUUGGAAACUGGAUCACUUGAGUGCAGAAGAGGAGAGUGGAAUUCCAUGUGUAGCGGUGAAAUGCGUAGAUAUAUGGAGGAACACCAGUGGCGAAGGCGGCUCUCUGGUCUGUAACUGACGCUGAGGCUCGAAAGCGUGGGUAGCAAGCAGGAUUAGAUACCCUGGUAGUCCACGCCGUAAACGAUGAGUGCUAAGUGUUGGAGGGUUUCCGCCCUUCAGUGCUGCAGUUAACGCAUUAAGCACUCCGCCUGGGGAGUACGACCGCAAGGUUGAAACUCAAAGGAAUUGACGGGGGCCCGCACAAG